rnacentral:ribozyme from 1 species
CAUGCAAUCAAUCACACACGAAAAAUAGAAAAGAAAAAGAAGCCAAUCAGUUAGCAAGAUAGUCACACCCAACCUCCCCGUUUAUUUUUUAAAAUUUUCUUGGCUUCCGCUUUUUUUAAUCGAUUUUUUUUUUUUUUGUUGUUUUCAAAUUGAAA